rnacentral:snoRNA from 14 species
ACUGCUGUGACACAUGUGCCUCAGUAGGUUGGCAGAGAGGAGAGAGGCUAUGUCUAUGCUCCAUGUUCUGACCUGUGAACAUCUGAAUGGUUAGUAGCCUAACACU